rnacentral:rRNA from 1 species
UACAGAGGUCUCAAGCGUUGUUCGGAUUCAUUGGGCGUAAAGGGUGCGUAGGCGGCGCGGUAAGUCGGGUGUGAAAUCUUGGAGCUUAACUCCGAAACUGCAUUCGAUACUGCCGUGCUUGAGGACUGGAGAGGAGACUGGAAUUUACGGUGUAGCGGUGAAAUGCGUAGAUAUCGUAAGGAAGACCAGUAGCGAAGGCGGGUCUCUGGACAGUUCCUGACGCUGAGGCACGAAGGCCAGGGGAGCAAACGGG